CUGUGACAAAUAAAUGGAAGAAAGAAUAUUAUUUAAAUUAGUUGCAACACAUUAGAUUAUGCGUUUUAGGUAAAAAUGCAUUCCCUAAAGUAAAAGUCAGUGGAAUUUCUCCCAACAGAUUGGGAUAGAAUCAAAAUAUGAAAGCAAAGUAGAUUUGUGUACUAAUAACUGAAGAAAGGAAAAAUACAAGUGCAUAUACUUUAUUACAUACAUUUUGGAUAACAUACUUUAAAAGUCUACCAAGUACACUUUUAUUACAAAAAUUUAAGCCAAGUAUUCAGUGAAUGCUUCUAGAAACUAAAUGAAUAUUCAUUAUUGCCGGAAUCAAUAAUAUUGACUUUAGAGCUCUUAUUCUACAUUAUAGUCCAAUUAUUAGAUCAGAUUUGUAUGUCUAGUUUCUUUUAAUGGCCAUUUUAGUAACUGUUUUGGAAAACAUGAAUUUCAAAUUCUAUAUUUUAACAAAUAAAAUUAAGCUUGAUAUUACUGACCACAUUAUCAAAAUUGAGCAUAAGGUGUUAUUGUCUUGGCUGAAUGUGAAGUUAAUGUUAUUAUUUCAUUUGUAAAUCAGUCUUAUUUUGUAGUUACUGCAUUAAAUACAUACCAAAUUUU